CCCUAGCCCUGAUAGUAGUGGAAAUCCUUUUCUUUUUUUUCUUUAGAAAAAGAAAAGAUUGCAACGAAUAGCAGGAAAUAGC
rnacentral:sRNA from 26 species